UUAUAAGAAGGAUAUAUUUGCGCAUAGUUUAUUUCCACAUGUUGAAGCGAUGUCACUGGUAUUUUGAAAAGCAGGACUUGGUGGCACACAACUAACGAAAACGAAGUAAACGAAAGUAAACCGCAACUGAGAAAAUGAAGCGCGGUGUGUGUAUUCACAAGAGGGCAGAUCAACGUAAUAAGAACCUCCGAUCCUGUAGAAGAACAGAAGAACUGAAACAGAUCAUUAUUUCCCCGAAUAAUUCUUUAUUCACGGUAAAAAUUGGGGCAAGCAAGUGCCCAUAUUUUGUAGGAACCUUAUCUUUUGAAUAAUUAUAGAGCUGAAAAAAAGCAAAUGACAAUGUGGCGGUUUAACUUUCUAGUGGAAAAAAUCAAUCUCAGUAAAUGCUAUAAAUUGUCAACUGAAAUGCAACUCUUAGCUCAUGUGUGCAAAAUGUGUUUAUGGUAAAUGAAGUUCCAACAUUGAGUUGGAGUUUUAUAUUCUGUAAGUAGAACUUUGUUCCAUGCAUAAAUUUUUAAUUGCUAAAUUAACAGCUAAUAAUCAUCAAACAAUAUUCUAAGAAAUUUUUUUAUUGGUUCGUCGAUAUUUAAAGCACCAAUAACAUUAGGAAGGUUUACUGUUAUGUAGAGGCGUACCUUUUGUCUUCCUUAAAAAUUGUUAUUAGGCAUUAAUUAUUUGGCUCUAGGUCCACUUCUAGAGAAUAUCUGUUGCCCAUGCACAGCGUUACUUGUUCAGCUCUAAAUUUAUAAAUUUCGUAGGUUUCGUUCUAGCAUUUAUAAUGUUUUUCAUUAUAGUCAAUGUUGUGUUUAUUUAUCAAAAAACUUUCGCAUAAACACAUAAGCCUACCAAAUCUCGGAAUUACAUCCUCGUUACUACAAUUAAAAUUGCUGGACAUUCGAAAAGAUACAAAAAAGAAACAUCAAAUUUUAUAAUUUAUUGUGGUUGGUUGUAAAUUAAGCACUACAUUUUUCGAAAAUUUGAGAACAUGAGAAAAUAUUUUUUUAAAUUCUAGGAAAGCUUUUCACCCCCCGUUAUAAAAAAUUGCAUAAUUAAAAAACACACAUUUGCUAUAAUGCAGCGAUAGGACCCGAAUGAAACGAAUAGUUUCGAGUUUUUGUUUACCCGAGUGUCCAGAAAUUUAUUUAGUGGACGUUUAAGAAAAGGAUUUAAUUUAGAAAUUUGACAUAUUACUUUUAUUGCAGCACAAUAAAAUGGGUCUUGUUGGGGAUAGCAAAUCCAUUAUAAAUUUCGCAAAAUACUGUAUGAUAAGUGCAGGUAUGUAGUAUCCUCACAACUUUAUAUGCUGCCUAUUCGACACUGGUGCGAAGCUACUGUCGACUAUUUGUGAUUUGUCAUUGCAUACAGUGUAUUGUGAUAACGAUGGAACACAAGUUCGAAUUUACCGAAAAAAUCUUCAAACAAGUAUCGUACAGUUUUACGUUCGUUGUGAUUGAAGCUACGGCAUCCAUUUGGCAGGGAAAGACUGUGACUUUACUGAUAUCUUACGUGAUUAAAAAAGAAACGACGGUAUUGCAAUCAGAUAGAGACGAAGUUAUCCAAAGCCAUGCGACGCAAGUUCAGUUCUGCAACAAAUGUAAUUGAUUAAUAACCACCCUCUCCACAUUUGCCGUGAUCAGUAUAGUAGUAGAGAAUAUUUGGCUAAGGCAGCAGAUAAAUAUAUUCAAUAAAUUAUACAAUGCUACUCUAGACAUACCAGCGCCAUAUGAUUUAUACUACUUUAAAAUGAACACUCAAAAACACUAGAUAAUAGUUAUGUUGCUUAAUUGGUUCGCGUUACCUAUCAACGCUAUAAAUUUCGUUUCCACGAAAAGUUUUUUUUUCUUCUGCACUAUUUGUGCCAUCGGUUUUGAAACAGCUGAUAAGAGAAGUUGCUUCCGAUAAUGAGGAACUGUUAUUGACGUUGCCGCAACUCGUGAUGGAGCACCAGGAAAUCAUUAAGUAAUUAUUAAUUACAUCUCUUUAAAAGUUAAAGCAGUCCAAAUAUAUGUUUGUCAACACAUACAGUUGCUCACGGUAAAAAUGGUUAAAUUGCAUUUAAUCAAAAAUCGGUAACGAAUUGGUUAAAUAAUUUUUCUCAUAAAAUAUGUGUUUAAAAUAACGUAUUUCCUGUGUUAUUUAAGGACACCAUAAUAACUGAAUCUGAACGUCACCAUGCUAGGUGCUAGCAUAUAAGAAAAAUCCCAAAAAUAAGAAAAUUUACGGAACUUCUACAUUGUUAAUUUGGCAUUCACAAUGUACUUAAAAAUUGUAUUAAUGUUUUUUCUUAAAAGAUUGAACACAUCACAUCGAGGCCAAAUUUUGGGUUUGACGGUCACAGUAUUUUGCGAUAUCACCAUUCCAUACCAAACCAUCAUCUUGGAAGUCAACUUGAACAUAACAGGGGGCAGCGAAAUGCUUUCUGAAAAUGUGUUCUACCUCAAUCUAGCCUCGAUAAUAGCUACCGAUUAUUUCAUAGAGGUAGUGCUGAAUAAGCUUUUUAAAUCGAUGCUAACGAAUUUGUCCGAAGAACUUGAUUCUAGCAUUUUAGCAUAUUUACACAAUAUUUUGAGUUCUUAACAAAUCAAGUUGAUUUGCGUACCACUUUGGUCCUAAGUUUAAUAUAGGUCCUUUAAUUAAUUGAUAAUGGUGGUUUGUUUUAGUAAAUGGAAAAAAAUAGAUAUAAGAAUCUGAAGGUAGCUCAUAAAAGGCAGAUUUGUUUUAUACACGUACUAAUUGAAGUUCACCUUUUUUUAGUUCGACCUAAAAAUGAUACCAGCCCCCCUUUCUUAUUUAAGCAUUUUGUUUGUUCAAGUAUUUGUCUUCGCCUGGAGUGCUAACGAAGUAAAAGUGCAGGUAAUGAUUGUCACGACAUUUAAUAAUACAAGCAGCUAUUAAGAACGAUGUAAACUGCGAUUGAGAUCUCUGUUAACUAGUAUUACAUAUAAUAAUAUAACAAACAUUUUCGGAAAUUGACUAAGUAAUUCAUUUAAUAAAAUUAUUGGCAACUAUUAAUUUGCAGAGUUUAUUGCUAGCAGAUGCUCUAUAUGACAGUCAGUGGUACAAAUAUAACGAGGCCGCAAAGAAGAUGGUGUUAACUAUGAUGGUUAGGGCUCAAAAGCCGUUAUUGCUAACCAUAGGUCCAUUUGGUGCUCUGACAACCGA